UCCAUUAAGCUCAGUUGGUUGCAGCGUCGUGCUAAUAACGAAGGUCGCGGGUUCGAUUCCCUCUUGAG